rnacentral:miRNA from 1 species
GCUGGUUAUGGCGUCCGUU